GACGAACGCUGGCGGCGUGCUUAACACAUGCAAGUCGAACGAAGUCGCGAACGGGUGAGUAACGCGUAAUCAACCUGCCCUUCAGUGGGGGAUAACAGUUGGCAACGACUGCUAAUACCGCAUACUGAAGGUGGGGUGUUAGGCUGGUUGGCUAUUUGGAGGGGUAACGGCCCACCAAGGCGAUGGUCAGUAGCCGGGCUGAGAGGGUGAACGGCUACAUUGGGACUGGGACACGGCCCAGACUCCUACGGUAGGCAGCAGUGGGGAAUCUUCCGCAAUGGACGAAAGUCUGACGGAGCAACGCCGCGUGAGUGAUGACGGCCAUCGGGUUGUAAAGCUCUGUUAAUCGGGACGCGGUACCGGAAUAGAAAGCCACGGCUAACUACGUGCCAGCAGCCGCGGUAAUAC
rnacentral:rRNA from 1 species